GCCUGCUAGCCGCGGUAUUCUGACCGUGCUAAGGUAGCAUAAUCAUUAGUCUUUUAAUUGUAGGCUGGUAUGAAUGGCAAGACGAGAAAGUGACUGUCUUUGAAGUUUACUUUUAGAUGAAAAGGUCUAAAUAAAUUCGGAGGACGAUCAGACCCUAUAGAGCUUUUUGGUUGGGGCGACAAGUAAUGAUCCCCUUCGUGGGAUUAAAAGACUCAGUUACCUUAGGGAUAACAGCGUAAUUUUUUUGGAGAGUUCUUAUCGAUAAGAAAGUUUGCGACCUCGAUGUUGGAUUAAGAUACCCGUCUGGUGCAGAAGCUAGAUUGGGAAGUCUGUUCGACUUUUAAAUUCUU
rnacentral:rRNA from 1 species